AAGGAUAACUGAUUUCACCCCUACCCCUGAAGUACCUCUCACCUCUCCCGGCCUCGAGCCGAACAGUAUCUCCUGAACGCCCAAAAGUUGAGCUGCUGGAUUUCUCAAGAGACUUAUCCGGCCGGCUACAGACCCUUUAGACCCAAUAAUAACGGUUACCACUCGAGCCGCCGGUGUUACCGCGGCGGCUGGCACCGGUCUUGCCCGGCCCUUGCUAUGCAAUGCUUUUUAGGCAUCACGACAGCCAGAUUUGUAACCUGGCACUCGAGGUCCCCUUAUCGCCGUUGCCGGCAUUGUAAAGUUUUCGCGCCUGCUGCACCCCGUAGGGCCUGGAUUCGUGUCUCAGAAUCCAUCUCCGGGCUCUUGCUCUCACAACCCGUACCCGUCGUAGGCUAGUAGGUACGCUACACCCACUACUACCUGAUAGGCCGCAGACCCAUCCUCUGGCGCCGGAGCUUUCGAUCUCGGGGCAUUCCAGCGACCGAGAUCUAUCGGGGAUUAUACCCAGUUUCCCGGGUUUAUACCCGUCCGGAGGGUAGGUUGUCCACGUGUUACUGAGCAGUACGCCAUGUAUUGCUACAUUCGACUCGCAUGGCUUAGUCGAACCUCGAUAGCAGUAAC
rnacentral:rRNA from 1 species